ACCACUGAGCUAAAUCCCCAGCCCUCAAAUAUCUGUUUUUGUCAUUUUAAUAUCUGAAAAAUCCUCUAUCCGAGGACUAUAUAUUAAAUGGGUUUUUGGAGCUGGAGGUGGAAUAGGAGCUUGCUCCAUCCACUGUGUGCAUCAGCCUGGUAUUGUAAUGCCUCCAGGAUUUGUGCACUACCA
rnacentral:snRNA from 1 species